UUGUGAAUGCUUAAAUGAUCCUACUUGGUUGUUCUUGUUUAAUUGGAACAAGAGUGGGAUUUUUGGGAUAGCAUGUAAAUUAUGCAAGAAGCUACAAACUGCAGCUAUGCUCUGCUGCGUAUCUAGAUUUGCUCUCUAUCAGAAUUUCACUUUUAAUUUGGAGCAAUCCUCGUGGAACUUCACCUGCAAAUGCGGAAAGCUCAUCAAAUGGUAAAUCACCUAAGUUUUGGAAAGAGUUUUCCAUCAUCAAAUAUAACAAGUGAAACCAAAAUAAAAUUUUAUGAUCAAGCCAUUGGCCAGUCCCACCUCAAAUUCAUGGCUUAGAUUUCGUGUUCCAGCAGAUGUAUUAAAACGGCAGAAAACCAUUUCUCAAGAAAAACUUGAAGGUGGUGAUGUGAUUUUUAUCAUCGGGUUAAACAUAGCCAAUUGGAUUAUUCACAAAUUUACCUAAUGGUUUUCCUUGGUCUUGUGUUUACACUUGGAAAAACGCACUGAAGAAAUGACUUGAGGAAUUCUUUGGCAUCAUAUCAAAAUAAAUGAAGUACAAUAAUAGUUGCCAGAAUGGCCUCUAUUUCUCUCUCAGAGACUGGCGUGUGCUUAGGCUGAAGAGAAG
rnacentral:misc_RNA from 1 species